rnacentral:rRNA from 1 species
AGUGAACGCUGGCGGUAGGCCUAACACAUGCAAGUCGAACGGCAGCACAGUAAGAGCUUGCUCUUACGGGUGGCGAGUGGCGGACGGGUGAGGAAUACAUCGGAAUCUACUUUUUCGUGGGGGAUAACGUAGGGAAACUUACGCUAAUACCGCAUACGACCUACGGGUGAAAGCUGGGGAUCUUCGGACCUUGCGCGAUUGAAUGAGCCGAUGUCGGAUUAGCUGGUUGGCGGGGUAAAGGCCUACCAAGGCGACGAUCUGUAGCUGGUCUGAGAGGAUGAUCAGCCACACUGGAACUGAGACACGGUCCAGACGCCUACUGGGGGCAGCAGUGGGGAAUAUUGGAGAAUGGGCGCAAGCCGGAUCCAGCCAUACCGCGGGGGUGAAGAAGGCCUUCGGGUUGUAGAGCCCUUUUGUUGGGAGAGAAAAGCAGCAGGUUAAUUCCCCGGUGGUCUGACGGUACCCAAAGAAUAAGCACCGGCUAACUUCGUG